AGCUCCAAUAGCGUAUAUUAAAGUUGUUGCGGUUAAAAAGCUCGUAGUUGGAUUUCUGCUGGGGACGACCGGUCCGCCCUCUGGGUGAGUAUCUGGCUUGGCCUUAGCAUCCUCUUGGAGAACGUAGCUGCACUUGACUGUGUGGUGCGGAAUCCAGGACUUUUACUUUGAGGAAAUUAGAGUGUUUCAAGCAGGCUUCCGCCUUGAAUACAUUAGCAUGGAAUAAUAAGAUAGGACCUUGGUUCUAUUUUGUUGGUUUCUAGAACUGAGGUAAUGAUUAAUAGGGAUAGUUGGGGGCAUUUGUAUUAACGCGUCAGAGGUGGAAUUCUUGGAUUGCGUUACGACAAACUACUGCGAAAGCAUUUGCCAAGGAUGUUUUCAUCGAUCAAGAACGAAAGU
rnacentral:rRNA from 1 species